GCUAACUUCGUGCCAGCAGCCGCGGUAAUACGAAGGGACCUAGCGUAAUUCGGAAUUACUGGGCGUAAAGCGCGCGUAGGCGGUUAAGUAAGUUAAUUGUGAAAGCCCAAAGCUCAACUUUGGAAUUGCAAUUAAAACUACUUAGCUAGAGUUUAUCAGAGGAAAGCGGAAUACAUAGUGUAGAGGUGAAAUUCGUAGAUAUUAUGUAGAACACCAGUUGCGAAGGCGGCUUUCUGGGAUAAUACUGACGCUGAGGUGCGAAAGUAUGGGUAGCGAAGAGGAUUAGAUACCCUCGUAGUCCAUACCGUAAACGAUGAUUGUUAGAUGUUGGAAAUUUAUUUUCAGUAUCACAGCUAACGCGUUAAACAAUCCGCCUGGGGAGUACGACCGCAAGGUUAAAACUCAAAUGAAUUGACGGGGACCCGCACAAGCGGUGGAGCAUGUGGUUUAAUUCGAAGCUACGCGCAGAACCUUACCAACACUUGACAUGUCUGUCGCGGAAUCCAGAGAUGGAUUCUUUCGGUUCGGCCGGACAGAACACAGGUGCUGCAUGGCUGUCGUCAGCUCGUGUCGUGAGAUGUUGGGUUAAGUCCCGCAACGAGCGCAACCCCUACUUCUAGUUGCCAUCAGGUUAAGCUGGGCACUCUAGUAGGACUGCCUGUGAUAAGCAGGAGGAAGGUUGGGAUGACGUCAAGUCCUCAUGGCCCUUACGUGUUGGGCUACACACGUGCUACAAUGGUAGUGACAAUGAGAUGCUAAACGGCGACGUUAAGCUAAACUCAAAAACCUGCCUCAGUUCGGAUUGCACUCUGCAACUCGAGUGCAUGAAGCUGGAAUCGCUAGUAAUCGCUCAUCAGCGCGGAGCGGUGAAUACGUUCCCGGGUCUUGUACACACCGCCCGUCACACCAUGGAAGUUGGUUUUACCUUAAGGCAUGUCACUAACCUUCGGGAAGUGCGUGACCACGGUAUGAUCGGCGACUGGGGUGAAGUCGUAACAAGGUAGCCGUAGGGGAACCUGCGG
rnacentral:rRNA from 1 species